GAGCAUUUUUGUCUGUAGGUAUUUGUAAAUUUUGCAAGUGCAAGUUUGAAGUCGGUUGUUUUUAACGCAGUUAUCACUUGUAAUUAUUAAAUGUAGUUUUAAAGUAUAUCUGGUUUCUUUUGGGGCCUCCGGCUGAGGGAAAUGUAAUUGGCGCAGUCGGUAGGAUCCUCAAAAAACGUGGUAUAGAUAGUAACCUUGCUAUCGCUACGGAGCUGGGGAUCCGGAAUCUACGGUUUCUGCGGCCUGGAGGCUAAAUCAAACAUUGACCCCAAAGGAACCAAAUGUGCUAUAAUUUUGCCAAUCCUGAACAACUGUACGUGAUCCGACGCAGAUGAGCUUCCAGCGACAUUUUUCUACGGAGUCAAAAAAUGGUCGCUGAACUGCGGGGGGAGGUGGUACGUCCCGGCCAUAACAGCAACUGACAGCUGACUACGCCGUUCGCAUGGGAACGGAAUGCGAGCGUGGUUUUGCUGUGAGCUUUUAAGACUUCUUUAGAAUAAUUAUUAAAAAUGUAUAAUAAUUCCUUAACUCCGGUCUGCAUCGAGCAGACGUGGUUGUAAAGUCUCAUUUUAAUUAUUAAAUAUAGUUUUAAAGUA